rnacentral:rRNA from 1 species
GGCACUACCUGUUCCCCUGUGCUGUGCGGUCGAGGUCGAGGUCGAAACCUCCGCCUCGUCUAGCCUGCCUGCGCUCUCGUGCGGCUGCACCUCCUUCGGAGCGGCAGGCAGCGGCACGGCCACGGCCACGGCCUCCCUCUAAAAUGGUCUACGGGUACACAACUCCUCUCGAAAGGGACUGGGCUCGAACGACGAUGGACCUGACCUGCGUCCGUCCGUCCCCCGCAUCUUCGGUACCGAUACCCCCGUCACGAGAGGAGGUCGUCUCGUCGGAAGGAGCGGAGAGGCGAGAGGAGGAGGAGGAGGAGAAGUGGUCCUUUCGUCGUCGUCGUCGUCGUACUGUGGUACUACUAGUUCAUGAGGAGAUGCAGCAGUGGUGUGUGGUCCACCGGCCACACGAGGGUCGACCAACGGCCCGUGUGUUUGCCGGCCGUACAGCGGUCCUCGUGACCUUUCAGUUGUGGUGUGGUUAAGAGACGGGUUUAAGUCGUCGGAGUCGAGUUGAGAUGAGGGUACUCCGAGACGUUGUUACGUCCGGACCACUUCUCCUCCGAGGACAGGUCCCAGCUCACGAAGGAUAGGAGCCUGGGCCAGUGGUCGCCUACCGUCUUUGGGUUCUUGGAGUGGCCGGAGCUGUGGCGGCCUCACGACGUCGGGCUCAUGUCUCGUGGGCAGUCUUUCGUCGCGCCUCUGACGUCCCGACUCGUCAUGCUCUACUGGCCCCGAGGUUACCCGCUGCAGGGGCGGCUCCGGCGGCAGGACCAGCCUCUGCGCUUAUUGGGUCUCCGGUAAAGAAGAGGGCGGACCACCGUCGUCAAGGGGUUCGCGUACUGGUAGCAGCAGGAGACGAAGAAGAGUAAGGACGAGACGUUGUACCUGGCACAGUUAUACUCAUAGCGGUAGGAAGGGUACAGUCGUCUCAAGCCGACCUCGGGCCGUUGGCAACCAGAGUAGGUCAGAAGAAAGAAAACCCCGAUGGAAGAGUGAGUCUAAGAACCCCCGUAAACCCGACUGGCCAAACCGCCGUUCCACCAGGAACCUAAGCCCCAACAUACCACCAGAUAACGUUGUUAAGAAUGUGGUAAGCGACGGUUCGAGCCGGAAGGCAAGGAUGAACAGCACGCACGAAAGUACCCCUAUCCGCUCCCACAACGGUACGGCCGGUACUUGUUGUAAGAUAGGUUUACCUAGGGCCAAAGUCUCUCCUCGUCUAGGGAACGUAAUCACAUGUCACCUUACAUGGAACCAAGUCAAUGGCCGGACCGGAAGAGUGGAAAGGACUAUUCGUUUAAGCCGACCGGAAGACAAAAGAUACCUAAACCCAGGGACCCUUCGUAGACCAAAUGUGACACCGUUGAGUUUCGCGCGUCGAGAGGCUUACUUCUAGGCCUUCAUUGGCUCCUACUUUUCUCCGUGUAUGAUCCACCAUCAUGGUACUUCCUCGGACAAUCGAGGUAUGGUACCUUCAAUUAGGAUAGCUUCGGACGUCAUACCCGAGAGUAUCAUAGGGUAAAAACGGUGUUGACCCCUUGUAAGUAGGAGGAUUGCACCUACGGGUGCAUGAUGUUAGUCCAAGACUUCAAAUUAGAUUGCCUCAGGCCCGAAGACACGCAGAACGGCACCGACUGUUACCGGCACAAACGUUUGCAACCACCGACCUAUCGACUGUGUGAGCAACGCUCUCCCCAUAGCUAUUGUUUACAAGCGUUCUAGUACGUUAGGUAGCCAAAAGAACCUGGUCGGAACAAGGACUGUGACGACUCGUUUCAGGCAUGUGGCCGGUACCGGCACGACACAUACCGUACGUCAGUCCCCUCACUACGAAAAAGUGUCAGACCCGACAUGAGCUUGGUGGUCCUAUAUCCUGGCGCGAUGCGCCCACACGAAGAACCCGACAGCUUGUGGCGGCCGCACGAACGUCCUCAAAAACCAUGACGACGGUGACCGAUGUAAGAAGUCUUUCCGAGAACCCUGUCACACAAAGUCCACCGACAAGACGACAUGUAUCAUCCCUGUCACCACACCUUGCAGAAAAGCUGGCCUCUCUCCUAGGAGCUUAUUCGGCACCCUGCGUGCUAGGGUACGCGGCGAUAUACUUUUUUUUAUCGACUAAAAACGACUACAGACAGAAAAACCACAUGUGUGCUUCAUUUGGUCUCGCUCUCUAUGGGAUACUUUUUUGAGAGCAAAAAAUCGUUCUCUAUGUCAUCGACGUAAACUACAAGCCCGACACCUUUCUCACUUCUAGUGUGGCUUCUCGGCGUGAACUACAAAUGCGACCCAAUUUAAAGACGACACUUUCAGUUCUACGAUCCGAACCCUGGUUUCUUAAGAGACUUAGACUUUCGCCGACGACGUGCCUCCCUUAAUCGUGGACAAACAAGGACCUCCUUCAGGUUCUGAGGUUCGAUGAAAGGUUAUAAGGUCGAACAAGGACGUGGUUGAUUUCUUAAGGUGUACCAACAAGAUAAAAAAGCCUGCUUUCGCUACAAAAUUGGUACAAACGUCGACGACGGUUUAAGUACACCAUCAUAAUGUGUUCGUAAAAACCCUGUUGUUACAAUAAAAAAUACAACGCUAUAAACAACAAUGAUAACGACAAAGCGAACAGUACAUCAUACUGCUGAUAAUAGUGUACUGUUACUGAAAUAAAAACGUUACAAAUUUCGUAUAACCGCAUAGAUUUGCGGCUGAACCA